GCAAGUCGCGCGAGAAGUUUCCUGCUUGCAGGAGACGGAAAGCGGCGAAAGGGAGAGUAACGCGUGGACAUCUGCCCUCAGAUCCGGGAUAGCUCUGGGAAACUAGUGGUAAUACCGGAUAAUGUCUACGGACUAAAGGUGUGAUUCCGUCUGAGGAUGAGUCCGCGUCCUAUUAGCUUGUUGGUGGGGUAAUGGCCUACCAAGGCUUGGAUGGGUACCGGGUGUGAGAGCAUGGCCCGGCUCACUGGGACUGAGACACUGCCCAGACACCUACGGGUGGCUGCAGUCGAGAAUCUUCGGCAAUGGGCGAAAGCCUGACCGAGCGACGCCGCGUGCGGGAUGAAGGCCCUCGGGUUGUAAACCGCUGUCAGAGGGGAGGAAAUGCUGGAGGGCACUCUCUCCAGUUUGACCGAUCUUCAGAGGAAGUACGGGCUAAGUUCGUGCCAGCAGCCGCGGUAAGACGAACCGUACGAACGUUAUUCGGAAUCACUGGGCUUAAAGCGUGCGUAGGCGGCUUGGAAAGUUGGGUGUGAAAUCCCUCAGCUCAACCGAGGAAUGGCGCUCAAAACUGCCAGGCUUGAGGGAGAUAGAGGUGAGCGGAACUUAUGGUGGAGCGGUGAAAUGCGUUGAUAUCAUAGGGAACACCGGUGGCGAAAGCGGCUCACUGGGUCUUUUCUGACGCUGAGGCACGAAAGCUAGGGGAGCGAACGGGAUUAGAUACCCCGGUAGUCCUAGCUGUAAACGAUGAGCACUGGGUCGAGGGAACUUCUACAUUCUCUCGGCCGUAGCGAAAGUGUUAAGUGCUCCGCCUGGGGAGUAUGGUCGCAAGGCAA
rnacentral:rRNA from 1 species